rnacentral:rRNA from 1 species
AUUGAACGCUGGCGGCAGGCUUAACACAUGCAAGUCGAGCGGGAGGCGGACGGGUGGGUAAUGACUCUGACACUGCCUGAUGGAUGAGGAUAACUACUGGGAACGGUAGCUGAUAACGCCUAGCAUCAGCUAUGCCCAGAUGGGAUUAGCUAGUAGGUGGGGUAAUGGCUCACCUAGGCGACGAUCCCUAGCUGGUCUGAGAGGAUGACCAGUCACACUGGAACUGAGACACGGUCCAGACUCCUACGGGAGGCAGCAGUGGGGAAUAUUGCACAAUGGGCGCAAGCCUGAUGCAGCCAUGCCGCGUGUGUGAAGAAGGUCUUCGGGUUGUAAAGCACUUUCAGCGAGGAGGCGUUACCCGCAGAAGAAGCACCGGCUAACUCCGUGCCAGCAGCCGCGGUAAUAC